rnacentral:rRNA from 1 species
UGCGCAGGCGGGUUUGUAAGUCAGUGGUGAAAUCCUGCCGCUUAACGGUAGAAUAGCCAUUGAUACUGCGAAUCUUGAGUAUGGUUGAGGUAGGCGGAAUGUGUAGUGUAGCGGUGAAAUGCAUAGAUAUUACACAGAACUCCGAUUGCGAAGGCAGCUUACUAAGCCAUAACUGACGCUGAGGCACGAAAGCGUGGGGAGCGAACAGGAUUAGAUACCCUGGUAGUCC